AUAGAUGCUAGUCUCGGAGACUAAGCCAUGCAUGCCCGUGACGCGAGGAACGGCGAACGGCUCAGCAGUACCGCGAUGAUCUGCCCCUCGCGCGGCGUAACUGCGGGAAACUGCGGCUA
rnacentral:rRNA from 1 species